UCGACGGGACUAUGCAAGAUGAAGUUUUCGGAUGGAAUUUUGUAUAGUUUAGUGGCGGACGGGUGAGUAACACGUGAGCAACCUGCCUUCGAGAGGGGAAUAACGGCUGGAAACGGUCGCUAAUACCGCAUAACAUACAGGAGGGACAUCCCUUUUGUAUCAAAGAUUUAUCGCUCGAAGAUGGGCUCGCGUCCGAUUAGGUAGUUGGUGAGGUAAUGGCCCACCAAGCCGACGAUCGGUAGCCGGACUGAGAGGUUGAACGGCCACAUUGGGACUGAGACACGGCCCAGACUCCUACGGGAGGCAGCAGUGGGGGAUAUUGCACAAUGGGGGAAACCCUGAUGCAGCGACGCCGCGUGUAGGAAGACGGUCCUCUGGAUUGUAAACUACUGUCCCCAGGGACGAAGAUGACGGUACCUGGGGAGGAAGCUCCGGCUAACUACGUGCCAGCAGCCGCGGUAAUACGUAGGGAGCGAGCGUUGUCCGGAAUUACUGGGUGUAAAGGGAGCGUAGGCGGGGAUGCAAGUUGGGUGUUAAAUCUACCGGCUCAACUGGUAGUCGCACUCAAAACUGCAGCUCUUGAGUGAAGUAGAGGCAGGCGGAAUUCCUAGUGUAGCGGUGAAAUGCGUGGAUAUUAGGAGGAACACCAGUGGCGAAGGCGGCCUGCUGGGCUUUUACUGACGCUGAGGCUCGAAAGUGUGGGGAGCAAACAGGAUUAGAUACCCUGGUAGUCCACACCGUAAACGAUGAUUACUAGGUGUGGGGGGUCUGACCCCCUCCGUGCCGGAGCAAACGCAAUAAGUAAUCCACCUGGGGAGUACGGCCGCAAGGUUGAAACUCAAAGGAAUUGACGGGGGCCCGCACAAGCAGUGGAGUAUGUGGUUUAAUU
rnacentral:rRNA from 1 species